ensembl:lncRNA
AUGGAAUAUGAAAGGAAGCAACAGGCACUGUUUCCAGCUUUGGCUGCUAAGAAUCAUCCAUAUACAGUUUGUCCAUGCACUUUCCCCUGCCAGCUGAGAGUCAAUCAUAUAAGAACCAGUGGGAAACAUUUUAUGAGGGACUGGAGAGAAACAGAGAAAGAUUAUACUGGAAAUUGUUGAAAAGAAGAUUCUCCCAUAAAUAGUGGUAAGUAUAUCGUCAGUGAUCAUAAAAUUUUAUGCAAAAUGCACUUUCUGUGUUAUUUCUCCUAACUUCAUUCUCCUUCCACUCUUCAUUUUUUGUAUCCACACGUCUCACACCAGCUUUGCUGAAGUGAUAACUGAUAGCACUCAGCCAGGAUUGAAACUAAGAAUAGCACAUCAUUGGAGGCUUCAGCCUUUUCAUAGGACUUGCAAUGUCUAUAGAGCAUAAACUGAUGGGAGGGAAGAUAAAAUCUGUACUUGGUUUGUAUUGGAUAAAAACAAGAAUGUAAGCAUCACUCCGUGGGGACCCAGUACUGGGGAGAUGCUUGUCUACCCUCGUACCUUUUGAGUACAUUAUGCUAAAAUAUUUAUGCUUAUUGCAUUGCAAAUAAAAGGAAUCAAAUAAAUGCUAAACUCAUAACAUUAUUAAUUUAUUGAACAUCUAUGGUCCUGUACCUCUAGUAAUCACAGGAAGUCUUCAAACAAUAAACAACUCUAAAAAAAAAAAAAGAUAAAAGAAUGAGGUCGGGCCGGCGCGGUGGCUCACGCCUGUAAUCCCAGCACUUUGGGAGGCCGAGGCGAGUGGAUCACGAGAUCAAGAGAUCGAGACCCUCCUGGUCAACAUGGUGAAACCCCGUCUCUAACUAAAAAUACAAAAAAUUAGCUGGGCAUGGUGGCGUGUGCCUGUAAUCCCAGCUACUAAGGAGGCUGAGGCAGGAGAAUUGCCUGAACCCGGGAGGCGGAGGUUGCGGUGAGCUGAGAUCGUGCCAUUGCACUCCAGCCUGGGUAACAAGAGCGAAACUCCGUCUCAAAAAAAAAAAAAAAAAAAUGAGGUCAGCAGGAAUAAAUGGAUACUCAGUAAGGACAGAAACAUGACAUCAGAAUAAAAGAAAGAUAUUUUAAUUCAGUUCAGAAACACUCACUGAGCCUCUACGAUGUAACGGACAUUUGUUUAAGUUGCCAGAAAUACAAAGAUGAAGGAGACACAAACCCUUGGGAAGCUUUGGCCAGUGAAGGAGAAAGAUGCCCAAAAAUAUAAAACUGAGGCAAUUAUAAAAAAUAAGACCUUCAGAUGUCUACAGUAUCCUUAAAAGAUUGAACUUGGGAAAGUCCACUAACUGACACAAGAAGACUUAUUUGGAAGGUUCUCCAUUUUUGCCUAGGCUCUAGGAGGAAGAAAACCUUUUCCUUGAUAGUUUAAAAUCUCAAGCUGAGAUGUCGAAUUUAGGGGUGGAUAGUUUAAAAUCUUGAACUUGAGUCUCUGGAUUUAGGGUUGGUUCAACAGUAGAGCCAAGAAAACCCCAAGGUAAGAAAUUAACAUUAAAAUUGGUCCUGAACUGGUCUGGUAGAUCGAGAUCGUUUUUGUUUUGUUUUUUUCAAAAAUGACCAUAAGAACAUUUCCCAUGCCACGUGCUCUUCUUACCAAAUCCCUUUGACACACCUGCUAUCAAAAGGUGGAGUCCACUUUCCCUCCCUCUUGAAUCUGGCCACUAUCGGAUGACUAUAGUUAACAGUAAUGUAUUAUAUCGCUUCAAAUAGCUAAAACGAGGAUACUGGAUAUUCCCAACACAAAAAAAUGACAAAUGUCUGAGAUGAUGAAUAUGCUAAUUAUUCUGAUUUGAUCACUAUACGUUGCAUGUAUCAAAACAUCACUGUGUACCCCAUACAUAUGUACAAUUAUUUUCAUUAUUUUAAAAUAAAUUUAAAAAAAAAUACAUCUCUACUCACCAAGGCCCUUACACAGUGACAUUUCCAGACCCUUAUUUCCUUUCACCAGUGGAGCCUCCAUUCCAGGUUUCUUCUUUUUGGCUUCAAGACUCACAAGGAAGCCUAAAGUUGGUCUUUGGAUACACAAAAGAUUCAUCUGUAUUUCAAAAUAAAUUCUAACUUACUUUGUUAGAAAUAAGCGAACAGCUGUCUAAGGUAUUUUCUCAGUUGGGAUGCAAGGUUUAUUACUGUGAUUUUCACUUCUGGCUAAAUGAGAGAAGCAGCAGUUGAGACUGAGAGAAGGAAGUCGUCGGGUUACAUUGAAAAGUAUUUCUGAGGUGGCAUAGACCAGGCUUAGUGCUAAUCAGAUGUGGCAAAUGAAAGAAAGAGACUUUAGUACCUGGGUAAAUGGUGAUGUCAUUCAUCUAAAUGGGCGAUAUAGAAAGAGAAGCCAUUAUUGAGUUUUAGGUGUGUUGACAUUGAGGCACCCACAGGACACAGAGUGGAAAUGUCCUGUAGGUGGUAGUAUAGUAUAUAUGGAAUCCAGAAUAAAGAGAAGAGGUCUAGCUGGAGAAUAUUUAUGAGCUCUUAGCACCUGCAUAGAAACUAGAAGUUAUGCACUGAGGAUACCAUUCAAUGAGCAUAUAGAGUAGUAGAUCUUAAUUUUGGCUGUUGAUGGGUCCCAUUGGAUAUCUAAUAAAAUUUAUAGAUCCCUUCCCCUCACCUUGUCUCUUCACCUCCCAAAAAUUACCCUAUGUGCACAUAAAAUUCUGCCUAUACCAAAGACCUAACUUAUGAAGUUGCUGAUCUCCUAGGUGUAUGUGCAACUCUGAGAAAAUUCAAGAAAGUGCUCCCUUGCUCACACCUGCAAUCCCAGCACUUUGGGAGGCCGAGGUGGGCAGAUGACCUGAGGUUGGGAGUUUGAGACCAGCCUGGCCAACGAGAUGAAACCUCAUCUCUACUAAAAAUACAAAAAAUUAGCCAGGCAUGGUGGCGUACACCUGUAAUCCCAACUACUCGGGAGGCUGAGGCAGGAAAAUCACUUGAACCCCAGAGGCAGAGGUUGCAGUGAGCUGAGAUUAUACCACUGCACUCCAACCUGGUGACAGAGCCCAGGCAGAAAGAAAGAGAGAGAGAGAGAGAGAGAGAGAGGAAGAAAGAAAGAAAAAUAAAUAAAUAAAAUGAAAGAAAGAAAGAAAAAGAAGAAAGAGAAAGAAAGAAAGAAGAAAGA